UAGGGAAUAUUAGUAAUGGGCGAAAGCCUGAACUAGCAACACCGCGUGUGCGAAGCAGGCCUUCGGGUUGUAAAGCACUUUUUGAGAGGAUGAGGAAGGACGGUACUCUCAGAAUAAGUCUCGGCUAACUACGUGCCAGCAGCCGCAGUAACACGUAGGAGGCAAACGUUAUCCGGAUUUACUGGCCGUAAAGCGCGUGUAGGUGGUUUGGUAAGUAGAGCGUGAAAGCUCCUGACUCAACUGGGAGAGGUCGUUCUAAACUGCCGGACUGGAGGAUGGUAGAGGGAGGUGGAAUUCCGGGUGUAGCGGUGGAAUGCGCAGAUAUCCGGAGGAACACCAGUGGCGAAAGCGGCCGCCUGGACCACUCCUGACACUCAGACGCGAAAGCUAGGGUAGCAAACG
rnacentral:rRNA from 1 species